rnacentral:rRNA from 1 species
AGAAUCAACGCUGGCGGCGUGCCUAACACAUGCAAGUCGAACGAGAAAGUGGAGCAAUCCAUGAGUAAAGUGGCGCACGGGUGAGUAACACGUGACUAACCUACCCUUGAGUGGGGGAUAACCUAGAGAAAUCUGGGCUAAUACCGCAUAAUACCUUCGGGUCAAAGGAGCAAUUCGCUUAAGGAGGGGGUCGCGGCCGAUUAGUUAGUUGGCGGGGUAAUGGUCCACCAAGACUAUGAUCGGUA